GGAAAGUUUUGAAUUUGUGUGUCGCAAGAUCAGAGGAAAUUAAUUGUGUUUUGGUGGCAUACAAGUUAUUUUAUCAGGAGACUUUUAUCAGCUUCCACCAAUUCCUGAUAUGUUGUGUGGUGAUGGUGGUAAUUUUUGUUUUGAAGCAGUCUUUUUCCAAACUUGUUUUCCACACAUUUUCGCUUUGAAAAAUUUUAUAGACAAACUGAUAUAGACUUAAUAAAAUGCAUUAAUGAAUUGGAAAAAGGUGAACCAAGCCAUGAAACAAAUAAUUAUGCCCCCAUUUCGAAGAAGAGGGGGUAUAUUGCUUUGCACUUGUCGGUCCGUCGGUCUGUAGACCAAAUGGUUUCCGAGUGAUAACUAAAGAACCCUUAGGCCUAGGAACUUCAAACUUGGUAUGGUGAUUGGUCAUGAUCAGUAGAUGACCCCUAUUGAUUUUGGGGUCAAGGGGUCAAAGGUCAAGGUCACAUUGACCUUGUAAGCAAAAACGGUUUCCGAUCAAAAACUCAAGAACCCUUAGGCCUAGGAACUUCAAACUUCGUAUGGUGAUUGGUCAUGAUCAGUAGAUGACCCCUUUUGAUUUUGGGGUCAAGGGGUCAAAGGUCAAGGUCACAUUGACCUUGUAAGCAAAAACGGUUUCCGAUCAAUAACUAAAGAACCCUUAGGCCUAGGAACUUCAAACUUGGUAUGGUGAUUGGUCAUGAUCAGCAGAUGACCCCUAUUGAUUUUGGGGUCAAGGGGUCAAAGGUCAAGGUCACAUUGACCUUGUAAGCAAAAACGGUUCCCGAUCAAUAACUAAAGAACCCUUAGUCCUAGGAACUUCAAACUUGGUAUGGUGAUUGGCCAUGAUCAGCAGAUGACCCCUAUUCAUUUUGGGUUCAAGGGGUCAAAGGUCAAGGUCACAUUGACCUUGUAAGCAAAAACGGUUUCCGAUCAAUAACUAAAGAACCCUUAGGCCUAGGAACUUCAAACUUGGUAUGGUGAUUGGUCAUGACCAGCAGAUGACCCCUAUUGAUUUUGGGGUCAAGGACUCAAAGGUCACAUUGACUUUGUAGGUAAAAACGGUUUCUGAUCAAUUAACUAAAAACGCUUAGGCCUAGGAACUUCAAACUUUGUAAGAUGAUUGGUCGUGACCAGCAGAUGACCCCUAUUGAGUUUUGGGUCAAGGGUUCAAAGGUCAAGGUCACAUUGACCUUGUAAGUAAAAACAGUUUCUGAUCAAUAACUAAAGAACGCUUAGGCCUAGGAACUUCAAAAUUGGUAUGGUGAUUGGUCAUGACCAGCAGAUGACCCCUAUUGAUGUUUGGUCAAGGGGUCAAAGUUCAAGGUCACAUUGACCUUGUAGGUAAAAACGGUUUCCGAUCAAUAACUAGAGAAUGCUUAGGCCUAGAAACUUUAAACUUGGUAUGAUGAUUGGUCAUGACCAGCAGAUGACUCCUAUUGAUUUUGGGGUCAAGGGGUCAAAGGUCAAGGUCACAUUGACCUUGAAGGUAAAAACAGUUUCCAAUCAAGAACUAAAGUACGCUUAGGCCUAGAAACUUCAUACUUGGUAUGAUGAUUGGUCAUUGCCAGCAGAUGACCUAUUGAUUUUGGGGUCAAGGGGUCAACAACUUAGCUGUCAUUAAUGAGGCCUACAUGAUUCAUAAAAUUUAUGCAUAUAUUAUUUGGUAAGAUUUGUAAUAACUUAAAUUGCUGCACACAACCUAUAGGGUCACAAUAAUUAUUACCUUGUGACUAGUCAUGACCAGUAGAUACUAGAUAACCCUUAUUAAUUGUUUGUUCACUGGGUCAGAAGUCAAGCAUAAUAACCUGAUCACAUGACUUAUUGGCUACUGACAGGGGGCAUACAUGUUUUACAAACAUAUCUUGUUACAUACAGAAUUUAUCAAGACCACUCUUUACAGGAAAUAAAAAUAACACCAUAAAAUUGUUUGCUAUGAAUUUGGAUGUAGAUUUGUAUAAUUAUGAACAGUUGCAAUGUUUAGAUGGCCAAAUAAAAAUAUAUGAAGCAAGUGAUAGUGGUGACUUUUUUCUACUUAAAAAAGAUGAUUGUUCAAAAGAAAUUAGCUCUAAAAGUAUCUGCCAAAGUUAUGCUUUUGAAAAAUAUUACUAGAGAGCUAGUCAAUGGAUUAGUUGGAAUUGUAUCCAAAUUUAAUGAAGACAAUGCGGUAGUGAACUUUGACAUAAAUGGUAAGCUUAAAAUGGUUAAGUUAUCAAAAGUUAACUUUACAAAGUUUGAUCCAGUUUCAAAUAUGUGUAUUGCUAAAAGACACCAGUUUCCACUGAAAUUUAAAGCAUAUGCCAUAACCAUACAUAAAUCACAAGGAAUGAGUAUACCAUACCUUGAAGUUGACUGCAACCAUGCAACUAACCCAGGCCAAUUAGGAGUGGCUGUAGGAAGGGCAGUGUCAACUGAUGGACUUCGAAUAAUUAAUUAUCAUCCUUUUUUGGUUAAAAAGCAUCCAUCAAAAGUGAGCACUUUUUAUGACUCUGUUACUGAUAUAAAUGCAAAUUUAUCAGAAGAUUUGAAAUGCUGUCGGUGUAAAUAUGCAGGUACGGUAGACAUUACAGUAGGUAAUAAUACUAAUUAUUCAGACACAGAUUGUGAAGACUUUGAAAGAUCUAUUUAUAAUUUUGACAAGGCUAAUUAUGAUACUGACAGGAUAUCAUUGGACCACUCUUAUUGCAGUGAAUCCAAAACGUCAAAUCUUGAUGGGGACCACACAUAUUGUUUAUCAACUUCAUUUCUAGAAGUAAACUAUAUCUUUACUAAACAUGUUCAAAGUUACGAAAGUACACCGGAUGAAAAUGCUGCAAGACAAGCUUAUGAGACUAUUUUACUACAUAAACAUGAAGUUUUAGAUUGGUACUAGAAAUAUAUAGAGAUAUAUAAUAAAAGCUGUACAGACACACCAGGUCAUUUGAAACAGAAGCAUUUUACAGAAUUCUACAAUGUUUUUAAUAACUAUAUCAGUUCAAGUGAAUAUGUUACAGAGUGUCAACACCUGUUAAAAUGUCCAAUUUCUAACAAUAUUUUAAUGUCUGUCAUAUUCAUUAUGCAAAAGAGAUUGUUGUGCAAAGAAUCAAUGUCAGCACAAUCUGAGUACAGUUCCUUAUCAGUGCUUCCUGAUACAACAUCUCAGUUAUCACCAGGUGGGAAGGGAAAGAUCAGUUUUGUAGCAGGAUACUGUAUUGCCAAAAUUAGGUAUAGGCUAUGUAGAUCCAUGAAAGAAUGUAUUGUGUCAGUUGGAAUGGAGCAGGAAGUUGCUAAUUUAAUGGAUCAAAUCUGUUUACUGGAUAAAAUGACAGUUUCAGCAUAUGAAAUUUUAUCUUCAACAAAAUAUAUUGAUACCUUAGAAGAAACCUCUCACCGACAAAAUAUUUGUGAAAGUUUAGCCAAUAUAUCAGACACAGUGUUUGAAUUUUUCACCAUUCUAGAAGCUACAGCAAGGAAAUGUUUAACAAUUAUGUAACAUUGAUGAAUGAAUCAAAGCACAUUUACAAAUAUAUUAUUGAAAAUCUUCUGUCUGAUUCAAAUUUGUUUGAAUGUUUGUCAAAAAAUGAGACUGUGUCGGACUGGAUAAUGAAGAAGAAUGGAACUACUUUUUGGGGAAAGAUACCAUUUAUCUUUGCUCUAUGUGUCAGUGACAAAACAUCUUUGAAGAAAAUGGGUCAAAGAAAGAAUAGGCCAGGUUGCAUUUGUAUACCUAAUAUCAUGAUGCUGUGAUGACACCAUUAACCAUUUAACUAGGUUGGUAAACAGGAAUUGGAUGAGCUACAUAACCUGAAAUUGAAUCCAACUGUAUAGGACCAAAUAAUGAUGUUUAUGCUGUAUGCCAAAUAUCAAGUCUUAGGCUGUGAAAAGUAGUUGCAAGCUGGUGAAAAAUAGUCAACCACGUCAGGUAUAACAUCUGGCUUCCCAAUAAGUUUGCCUCAACAGAAAUUGUAUAUACACAGACAAUUUGAAGCAAUGAGAAAGUUAAGAUAUACCAUUUGAGAUACCAGUUUUGCUUUGAAGAUUGCAGAUGGCAAUAGAAGAAAACCACUACUUGACAAGUCUUGAUAUGCCUGUGGUGAUCAACAGUAUAAUGUUAAACACAAACGGAUGAUCUGUGGAUCCCAUUUAUUAUGUUUUUUGCCAAGCUGAGCAGAAAGAAGUUGAGACUUUAUUAAAAUCAUCAUUUUUUCGGGUCACAUAGAUAUAGGCAGCCAGUUUCACAGCAUUCCACAUUGUUUUUCAACCUGCAGAGUAAAAAUAGAAAAAAGUAUUAUAUCAGACUUUCCAGCAAUAACAUGAAUUCACCUAGGAAGUGCACAAAUAUGGACUUUAAGAUGCACAAAUAUGGACUUUAAAAAACAGUAGGGGAAUUUAAUUUAUGCUUAAAGGGGGAAUUAUAUUCUCUUGUAAUGUGAUGUAUUGAAUGGGUAAAUUGGAGUAAAAUAGUCACUUAAUGAAGAAAUAUGCACAUUGAGUAUUGCUGAGUUCCCUAUUUUUGGAAUGAUAUGUAUAAUUUAAUUUAUAAUUAGUUACUUAAAGGCCAUUAUGCCUAAAAAAUGCUACUAAUUUUAUUUCUCAAUUAUUUUUUUAGCUCACCUGUCACAAAAUGUCCGGGUGAGCUUUUGUAAUCGCUUUUCGUCCGGCGUCCGUCCGUCAUCCGUCCGUCCGUCAGUCAUCAGUCUGUGAACUUUUACUUUAAAUGACAUCUCCUCAUAAACCACUAAGCCAAUUUCAUCCAAACUUCACAGGAAUGUUCCUUUGGUGGUCACCUUUAAAGCUAUGAAUUAUUCAUUUUUAUUUGCCAUUUUAAAAAAAAAAAUAUUGACUUUUAUAUCUGAAAAUUGUAAGAUAUCUAGUACUGCUAAGCAUUUUUGCUUUUGAUUUAUAUAUUUUAUAUUUUUUUGUUAAUUUUUAAAUGUUACUUAUAUUUGUAGAAGAAAAAAAUUUAAUCAAGAUGAAGUUUUUAUAGAAAUGUCAGAUUCUAACUUAAAGUGAAAUUAUGCUCAUAUUUUCAUAGUUCAGUUGAGCUGAAUUGACUUUAUAUUUCAAAAGAUUGACUGUUAAAAUGAUGUUUGACCAAGAGUUGAUAUUGGAAAACGUUCAGGAUAAAAUUAUAAAUCUGCCUAAAAUAUAAAAAGACUGCCUUCCUCAUUUUAUAAACUGAGCAUUAGAGGUAAAUUCUAAUACGGUAUUUAAAUUAUUUUUCGGAUCUGUGCAUUAUUUAUUGUUAAUGGGAAGAACAUUAUUAAAUUAAAAGGAAUUAUGGUAAAAUGAGAACUUAUUUUCAUAUUCACCUGUUCACUCAUUUUAUGCCCUUGGAUUGGCAUAAUGUAACUAUAAUGGGAAGAUGGAAAGUAAAUAUUUGUAAAUUGUUUUUACUGCAAAAUGUAUAAUUGAUGUUUGAAAUUUGAAGAUAUAUUGUUCUAAAGUUCAGGUGUGCACCUUCAAAGAGCUAAGUAAGUUACUCAAAGAGCUAAGUAAGUUACAUUAUAAUGUGAUUAUAAUAGCAAGCCCUGACUUGUUUCUAUAGCAAAUACAAUGAGUAUAUGUUGUUGAAUUUUUAGGUCACCUGUCCUAAAGUGACAAGGUGAGCGUUUGUGAAAACUUUUCGUCAGUGUCCAUCCGGCGUCCAUUAACUUUUACUUUAAACAACAUCUCCUGAUCAACUGCUAAGCCAAUUUCAUCCAAACUUCACAGUGAUGUUUCUUUGGUGGUCACCUUUAAAAUUGUUCAAAAAAUUUAAUUCCUUGCAGAACACCUUUCUUUUGAAAAACCCCAAAGAGCUAGAGCUAAGAUAUUUGGCAUGAAACAUCUUUUAAUGAGUCUCUACCAUGUUUGUUCAAAUAAAAGCUUUGAGGUAAGAAUAGGCCCUGCCGGGGGUGGGGGGUCAUUAUUACUUUAUAUGUAUAUAGUAAAAACUUCAAAAAAAGUCAAAGAGCUAGAGCUUGAAUAUUAAGCAUAAAGCAUCUUCUUUUGAAUUUCUACAAAGUUUAUACAAAUAAAAGCCCUAGUAUCAAAAUUGGCCCUGUCCAGGGUGUACUGAUUUUCCUUAUAUGUCUGUAGUAAAAACUUUAAAAAUCUUCUUUUAAAUAUCCCAUAGAACUAGAGCUUAGAUAUAUAACAUGGAACAUCUUCAAAUGGGCCCCAGGGGGUCAUUGAUUUUCCUUAUAUAUAAACAUGUAUAUAGUUAAAACUUAAAAGAGUUGUUGUGAAAAUUAAAAAGAGCUAGAGCUUAGAUAUUUUGCAUAAAACAUCAUUUAGUGGAUGUCUACCAAGUUUGUUAAAAUGAAAGCUCUAGGGUCAAAAUUGGCUCGGCCUAAGGGGUAAUUGAUUUUCCUUAUAUGUACUGUAAAUCCUGUUUUUUCCCCUGUUUCUUCUGGGGUGAAAGGGGCUCCAGUUAAACCUUUUGACCUAUUUCUCAGGGGAGCAAUCAAGGGGCCCUCUUGUUAAAGGGAGACACAGGCAAAAUUUUCAUUUCUUAGUUUUGAAUUUUUCAUUCAUUAUUCUGUAAAUGCCCUCAAAAUGAAUACAUUACACAGUCAAAGGAACAACUUUUUUCUCCAUAUAAAAUGGUGGUUUCCUGACAUGACCUGCGUGGGUCAGGUUACAGAGCUAGGAUUUCAUCAUCGUCGUCAAAGUGAACUGGAAACGUUAAAAACAUGUCAAAUGAAUGUUUUCGAUUUGUUUCAAUCAUACAAUAUCCACAAUACCUGUUUUUGUAACUUCAAGGGUUUAUUCAAGUCACAUGACUUGUUUUAUUCUAUUGGCGUCUAAAUUUUGUUCAGCAUAAAUAGAUAUAUUUACGCGUUAAACCUAAAAUAUAUAGAUUUAAACAGAAAUUCAUCCUGUAACUUUAAGAAAUGUCAUUCUAGUGUGAUUUCAGUACCUAAGAUCAGUUUCAUAUUUUUGUCAUUAUUUUGCCUGAGUAUCCCUUUAAAGAAAAUUAUACUUUUUUAAAAACAAUAACAUUUGCACUGGACCCCCUUAUUGAAAAGAAUAGAUUUAUAUUGGUCACUUUCAUAUUUCCUUUAUAUAACCAAUUCAUUGAUGCAUGUAUCUGUAGAGAAUAUUUUAUGUUUGGGUUACUUAAGGUGUGUGUCAAACACUAGCUUUGUGAUAAGGAGUACUAGUAAUUGUGAAAACAUACAUAUGGAUAAUACAUUGAUGGAUAAUUUCUUUUGGAAUUGCUGGUACUAAGAAAAUCUUGGCAUUAAAUUUUAUGACCUAUAUUGAAACAUCUGUAUUAUUUUUUACAAUAUUUGUUUGCAUGUUUAGGUUAAUCAUACAACAGAUAUAUUUAUUCCAAUUUACAGUGUGAUGGUGUGGUGUAAAUAGUAAGUGACAUGUAUAAAACAGAAAAAAGCAGAACAAUUAUAUGAGCCAUGUCACGACAAAACCAACAUAAUGGGUUUGCGACCAGCAUGGAUCCAGACCAGCAUGGGCAUCGGCGCAGUCUUAUCAUGAUCCAUGCUAUUUGCUUACAAACCCUAUAACAAGUAGAGAAACUGAUAGCGAACAGCAUGGAUCCUGAUCAGACUGCGCGGAUGUGCAUGCUGGUCUGGAUCCAUGCUGGUCGCAAACCCAUUAUGUUGGUUUUGUCGUGACACGGCUCAUAUGUUUUAUAAAUACUGUAGGUAAAGCUGACAUUUUUGUUCAUAAGUUUUUACCGUAUUUAGUUUCAUAUAUAUUCAUUUGGUGUAAUAAUCAAGUCCACAUUUUGCUUAAUAUAAAAUGAUGACAUUAAGAAAAAUGUAAAGAUUGUUUGCAUUGUUUUUUAUUUUUAUUAUUUCAACACAUUUCUAUUCAUGACUUGGCAGUCAGUUCACGAAACUUAAGCUUUUCUGCUAAAGUAAUCAGUAAUUAUUAAUCUCUCUGCACCUGGCUAUUUAUCCCACAGCAGGGAGUGUCAGUCAAUGUCUGAGAUGAAUUGUCACAGAGAAUUUGCAUUUUCUGAAGAUUAAACCAUUUGCGCCUCACGUAAGUCCUGGCUCAAAUCCUGACAGAGACUUUGAAUUCUUUCAGAGCUAUUUUAAAGAAUGUCCAUGGUUUUACUUAGGUACUCCUUUUUAAAUGAUUCACAGAAGGACCCCUAAGUUCUUCCACUACCAUUAAAACUGAAAAGUCUCCAUAUGACCUACAUGUAUUCUGUCACUGUGGAAGUGCCACCAAAAAAACAACAAGAAAUAAAAUAUUAGUCCGUAGAAAUCAAAUUCAAUGCCCUCUUCAUUGAACUAUGGGGGCAGAACAGCAAACAUUUUAACUAUAUAGAUAGACACAAUAUACAGGUUUUGUAAUUUUCAUAAAAACAAGUUAUAGCUUGUAAUGUACACUGAAAAAGUUAAAUUUUGCUAAAGAGUAAUUGAGUUAUCCAUAUGAGGUUCAGGGGCUUCUAUGACAUAGUGGUAAAGGUUGUUUACACAAAGUUCUUUAUCCUAAUCCCCUGUGCGUUUCACAUCCAGUUUUGGCAUUUUAGAAACCUUGAUAUAUCUAGCUUACAGAAUGUCAGUGGUUCUAACCUGGGUGACAGUUUGAUAUGUGUCCGGACAGGCACCUCACUUUACCUCGCUCCGGUAAAAUUUAAAUUUUGUCAUAUGUCCUUUACA